CCCCCUCUCUCGCAAAAACGCAACCCACCAUCCGCUUAAAUCUGAAGAGUGAAGACGGACUAAAACCCUUGCUGUCGAACUUCGAUCGCAACCUUACAACGACGAGCGAACUUUAGCUGUAUUGAGUCAAUUAUCCAGCCACCUUCGCCCACCGCCACCGUCGAGACAAGAGAUAAACCAAGUUAAAAUCCAGUCGUCACAGUUUGGUUGUUCCUGCAGUCACCAUUUUCGAACUUCGAAACAUCGCAACAUGUCGGAAUCUUGUUGCAGCCGCCGCCGUUCAGGCAGUCCUCCAGCCAUUGUUGUCGAAAUUCAGAAUGUCGCAAUGCCGUCGGAAUCUUCCUCCAGCCGCUGCCGUCGAAUGCCACAAUCUUACAACGCCGUCAAAUUGCUUCUACGACAGUAAGAAAUAGGGUUUUGUAUCAUAAACAUGAAGCAGAUUACUUGUUGUUGCGAGUUAUGGGCGAACGAGAGAGGCAGGUUUUGAGUAUAUGUUGGGAUGGAAAAAGGGUGAGAAAAUAGAGGGAACAAGAACUUGAGCAAGGUGUCUGCAAUUAGUAAGUAAAACUUCUCCAAUACCUCUGGUGCAAAUUUCAAACUAAGAAGAGGCCUUGAGACAGCAGAGUGUGAAUACUUGUGGCAUAUGGUUUAGGUGACUGAUGAGUCCGAGAUCACAAAAGAGAAUGAAAAAGAAAAACAUCACCCCUGGUCAACAACUUUCACCACCAAUCAAUAAAUUAAAACGAAGCUGGAUUCAAGAUUUAUGCCUAUAGCUUCAACACCCUAAUCCCAAAUUGAAGAUACCAAACAAAGGGACACAGAAAUCAUUGUCCAAGAAAUUGUAGAAACCCCACACUAAAAAUUUCAAUUAAAAACACAGGAAUCUACACUUUGUACAAUCAUUUGCACAGGCAUCUUCAAAACAUAAAUCAAAAAAUGAUUCAUAGGGAGUGCUACAACCUUGGUAAUGCUGAAGCGGGAGCUUAAAAACGAUUGACUAUUAGGCUUAUCUUAAAAAUAUACUUUGUUUAAGAACAUAUAGGGAGUUGAAAUCCUAUUUUAGUUUUAAAUCUUGUUAGUUUCCCUUGAGUUCAGGGAUUGGAUUGAGCUGGGUGGUUGUAAUAGCCCAAUACACUUUGUUUAUUUAUUUUGUUUUGAGGAUUUGUUUGAGUUGUCUUUAGUUUGAAUUGGUUAGUUAUAUUAUAUGUUAGAUUUUGUAAAAUUCUUGUUGUACCUUAUUAGAAAGUGUUUUGAAAGUUAGCUUUUUUUGAUUGGAUAUGUAAUUAAAAUUGCUUCUCAUGUGAUUUGUAAUGGUUACAUCACAGUGCUGUUAACAUUUCUAAAGCAUCGUAUAUAGUAGAGUUAGUCGAAGGAUAAAUUUUGGUGAUGUUUCUUGGUUUAGUGUUGAAAUUUUGCCUAUUUAUAGGGAGGUAAUACACGAGUAGUAAAAAUGAUUAACACAUAAUUUAUUCGAGAUUAACUUGUUUUUCCCUAUAAAAAUGAUGAUGGAAUUUCAGUGUUCGCUUGGGUUGGGGCACACUCAAAUUUCUACUUUUGUAUUACAUCUGUAACUUUGCUUUGAAAAUGGAAGAAUAACGAACAUUCAUCAAAAUCUUGUACUUGAAUUUUUCUUGUCAUCUUGCAAUACAGUCCCGAUUCCUUUUGUGAUGAAAAUUCAUUAACUUGUUGAAGACGCUAAUGUUUGCUUCAUUUACUCAACUUUUUCUUACAAAUGAACAUUUUGAAAUAAUCGCAUUAUCAGCAAGCAAGGAUUCAGAUAUGGUGGAGGUAAGUUGACAUCUAAUUCUAAGACUUGGUUUUUGGGGUGAAAGAAAUGGUUGCGUAUUUAGUGACUCGUUUUUUCUUGUAUGAUAGGUUUUUAGAAUUGGUUCUUUUUUGUUGCUUUAUCUUGGUGCAAAGUUAAGCACUGUUUUAAGCAUUGUAGCUUAUUUUUCUUCGUUACCAACUGGAAAUCUCUAUUGCAAUCACCUAUAGGUGAUUUGGGGUUUGCCCUUUUUUCAUUUAUCAAUGAAAUGUUUCAUUAUCCAAGGAAAA